UGUUCGUGAUCCCAAUCCCUCGCCGGCGCCGGAGCCCUCGCCCUCCUCCGCCUAUUUCCCCCAUCUCUCUUCCUCCCCACUAUGCGACCGGGCAAGAUGACCGUGCGCGCAUCGAUGGAUGCGUUGGCGUCGUAGCUUCCCGCCACGGCCACGGCUCAAUGAGGAAGCGGGAGGAGGAGAAAUCCGGCGGUCACUGUGGACAUGUGCAGCUGUGGAAAGCUCAAGUGAUGCAUGCGGAUGGUACAAAGAAUCAAGCCUGGAAGUUAAUUUGGAGCUUGCCUUGUCCAGGUAAAGUAAACCAUUUUAUUUGGAGGCUUGCAUGGGACAGUCCAUUGACCCAGAAGAAUGUUUGAAUGUGAGGCAUUGAUGAUGAUCCCUUAUGCUCUGUAUGCCGAAGACAGAACGAAUAUGGUGGAACACCUCACCUGUUCUUGAAAUGUAAUCAUGUCGAAAUGCAGUGCUCCUUGAAGAAGAAAGGCAGAAUCUCUCACGAGGUGCAUCUCAGUUAAACAGACUGCCAAUCACAUUUUGGAAAAAAGAGGCAGGUGUGGCUACGAAUGAAGCUGGCCACUUCCAUGUGGCUUCAGCGGUCUGACCCGCAACUCGGGGACGCAGUCGAUUCAGUCCAAGACUUUUCAGAUACAAAACACUUUCUCUGAAUUCAGUUAACAUCGUCUGAUGGUAAAAAAAUCCAUAUGCCCGUUCCUGCCAGCUCCUGGUAUGGUUGUUUGCUGGAGCAAGCGGGGGGCUUUGAUCGGCACAUGUGGAUCAAUUGUCCUGAAGCUCGACCAGGCUCUGCAACAUACAUGCCGUGCAGCAUAUAUUGUUGAUUCAGUAGUCAGAGACUCAGGGCUGGGAUUGGUGAAUGGUGAUGACCAUGUAAUUUGUUUGGGCGGGCAACUUUAUCUCCUGUCGUUGUUUCAUGCCGGUGAUUUUUAGAAGAUAAUGGAAUCUGCUUUUUUUUUCA